ACUCCUGUUCUCUAUCAUCAGAGUGCUUUGUUUUGAGAGAAGAUAUCGAUGGUUGCCGGAGACGGAGAAAAGAGAGUGGCGGGUUCAGUCUCCGAGCUCUACGCGACGGUGGUAAAGCACAGAACGCUCUCAGCGGCAAGUUGCAGACAUAUCUGAAGUGGAGAUUCCCAGCUCGUAUUGCAGACAGAUCUGUAUUCGACUUACCUCACUCACAGAGAGUAUUGAUUGGAGGACCUAGAGGCUAGAGUAAAAGACGAACUAAAUUGGAAUAAUGAGCAGUAGCGGCAACAUCUCGAGGAGCAUGUUGGUGGCAGCGGUCAUAAGAGGUGCGACAAAGGCGAGGAUAAGGAUAUUCGGUCACGUUUUGAAUCCAACAAUCCAAAGAUCACCUCCCAAGGUUCUCCAUAAGAAGCUCAUUGGCUAGAAGUUGCUUAGUGGUUCCCUCAUGAGAUCAAGAAGGAAGACCCCCUUUUAAUUUCCCAUCAAGAACAAGAGUAUCCAAAGGUGAAGCAAAAGGCGUAUUUUGGUUUCUCUGAACCUCUCUCUCUUUUCAAUCCAUAUUCCUUCUCUUAUUUGAAUCUUCAAAGUGAAGUUAAGAUGCAUAUUCUGGUUUCUACUAAUCCUCUCUCGAUCCGCUCUCUAUUUCCUUUGUAAGGUCGGGUUUUGCUGACAUGGUUUGUUGAUUAUUCUGCUUCUUUUUUUUUUUAAUGGUGUGGAUUCUCUCUUUUGUUUUGGUACUGUAAUUGAUAGACAUGAAUUUAACACAUUUGACUGGUAGCAAUAUUCAGAGAUGAAGCCGCCAGAGCAGCUAUGAAUGAACAGAGAUGGAGAUUGCAGGUGGAAGAAAGAGAGAAUAGUUUAGGGUAUAGCUUCAGACGUUGGAUUUUUUGUUCCGCCACGUGUCAAGAGAGAGGGCCUGUGAGGGAGAAAAGGUUUGGGGAAACUAGGAGAGUGAGUGUGAGCAGAGGCAAAGAGACGAAGGUAGGGAGAGAGAACAUUGUGAAUGGGAGAGAAGGGAGUCGCGGGAGAUAUAGAGUGAGCGUAUGGUAUCUCCCUUCAAUCAUCCUCCAUUAUCUUUCUCUCUCCCUUUCGCUUCCCAUCUUGUCAAAAUCUAACACCUUCUUCUGAACUCGACAGUUUUCUUCCCAAUCACAAACCCCUGUUAUCCAAAUUCAGAGAACUACAACAGGACUGGAUGCUUCUAGUACUAUUCUUGUGUUACAAUGGCUACAUUGUUACAGGUUAUUAUACCAUGGGAGGUAUGGAUUCUUGAAAAUAGGAGGUGCUUAACCCUAACAGGUACUUCUAGUCCAAUUUUUUAUGUCUGGCAGGGUUUGCACUGCUCUAUAUUUUUAAUAGGACCAAAUUAUAUGAUGUUGGAGGUGCAAUUCGUCUUUGUGAAUUUGGACUAUGAUAACUGAAACUAACUCCUCUAUAUGUAAAUUAUAGCGUUCUGCACAUGCUUUUCAUGUUACAGGUGUGGAAUCCUCUCGGAAUAGUUGGUGUAAUUACAUCUUUCAACUUUCCAUAUGCUGUUCUUGGUGAGCUUUUUUGACUUUUCCAAUUGACGGGUAGAAAUUUGAAAGUUUCCUUUAUUAUACAGUUUUUGUCAGAGUGGAUUAUGGGAGAUUUGAUGAAUGACCAUUGUUUGAGAACUUUCAAGAAGUGGGAUUACCAUAUCUUAACUUGAUGAGAAAGCUUUUGUUAUUGCAAUGGUCCCUUUAAACUGAGAGAAAAUUGUUUUUAUCUGUCCUAUUGUAUUAGAAGCAUAUGAUAUAUAGCUAAGGUAAAUCAAGAAAGUCCCCAUAUUAGUUAGCUAGUGAUCCUGUUAUUUUUCUUACCAAUAUAUAUAUAAAUUAAAUUAAUGUAUUAAACAUGAGAAUCAAUGUUGGAUAGAUCUGUACUAAUUCAAAUGGCAAAUCAUUUUGGAUACAUUUGUACUCAAGUUAUGCUAAUAACUUAUUACUUGUUGGUUUAGCAAUCUAGAUGCCAGAUUCUUUCUUCAUUCUAUAAGCUAAGAUCUUUUAUAAAUGAAACUGAUGUCUUAGUUAUUUGCCCUUCUUGAAAAAAAAUUUUAGAUGGCAUUCACAUUCAGUAGUGAAUUCCACUUGAGAGCACAACCCUUAACUUUCUUUGUAUAUUUUAAUAGAUAGUAAAUGCCAUUUUGUUGGUAUUUUUUGAAAGAAUUACAGUUGAUCUCUUUAUUUACACUUUUCCAUCUGAUAAUGCUGAUGCAGGGGGCUAGGAAGCUUGGCUAGGCCAUUGGGAUUGGAUUGUGAACAUUGGUUCAACACAACAGAAGAUGGAAAGAUCCCUGGAGAUGAUGCAGUAGACACUUGAUCAAUUUUUUUUUUUUUUCAAAAUGUAAAUUUAUAUUUAGUUUAUUAGCUUAUUUUGAUAUGAAAUGGAAACUCUAAGUGUAUACUGACUUCAAGUUGAUAAUGUUUACUUCUUAAACACACACUAGCUAAUCGCUAUUUGUCUACAUGAUCGUAUUACUCUGUCUAGGUUUGUAUUGGGUAGUUGGUUUCCUUGCUUUGUGAAAGAUGACACCAAAAUUCUUUCAAUGUCUUGGAAAAGUUAGAAGAUUGUGUGCUCAUUUUUUAAUAGACAUUUGAAAUUCAAAAUUAAAAUGAAAAAAUGAAAACAUUGAU